rnacentral:lncRNA from 1 species
AAGGGUGUUCAUCUCUACUAAGGAAUCAUAACAAAUUGGGGCAAAUCCCUAAAUUCAAGAUGUUCAUCUCUAGUAACAAUGAGAUGAAAUAAAUUGAAGAUGUACAAACUCCGUGCAAAGACUAUGUACAAGUUGAGUGCAUGUAACAAGAAAAAAAAAGAAUCUCAAAAUCAAGCUCAAAGCGUCAUUAAUGAUCCCUCAUAUUCAAGCAUAAAGGUUUCAUUGAUGAUUCCUUAUAUUCAAGUUUGAAGGCUUCAUCGAUGCUGCAGCUCCAGCUCUUUGAGAGGAUAACGAUGGUACAACUUCGAUAGGACGGCGAUCGGCAGCUCUGCCUUCACCUCUCCAAGAUGAAAACGACAGUGUAACAUCGUUUCUGCCUCUUGAAGAAGAUGCAUACAAUGCUAAAGCUUUAACCUCUGCUUCAUCUUCAACUUAUUGCAACCGAGAGGAUUCAUCUUCAUCUUCUCCUAGGAACCGCAACCGAGAAGAUUCAUUUUUAUCUUCUCUCAGGUGUAGCAACUGAAGAGGAUUCAUCUUCAUCUUCUCCCAAGUGCUACAACCGAAGAGGAUUCAUCUUCAUUUGCUCUAAGGUGUGGCAAGUGAGAGGAUUCAUCUUUUUCUUCUCCCAUGUGUUGCAAUCGAGAGGAUUCAUCUUCAUCUUCUCCUAGGAAUCGCAAUCGAGAAGAUUCAUCUUCAUCUUCUCUUAGGUGUUGCAACCGAAGAGGAUUCAUCUUCAUAUUCUCUUAGGUGUUGCAACCGAAGAGGAUUCAUCUUCAUCUUCUUCUAAGUGUUGCAAUCGAAGAUGAUUCAUCUUCAUCUGCUCUAAGGUGUCGCAAGUGAGAGGAUUCAUCUUUAUCUUCCUCCAUGUGUUACAACCGAGAUGAUUCAUCUUCAUCUUCACCUAGGAGUCACAAUCGAGAAGAUUCAUUUUCAUCUUCUCUCAGGUGUAACAACCGAAGAUGAUUCAUCUUCAUCUACUCUAAGGUGUCGCAAGUGAGAGGAUUCAUCUUUGUCUUCUCCUAUGUGUUGCAACCGAGAGGAUUCAUCUUCAUCUUCUCCUAAGAAUUGCAACUGAGAAGAUUCAUCGUCAUCUUCUCCUAAGAGUCACAACCGAGAAGAUUCACCUUCAUCUUCUUUCAGGUGUCGCAACCAAAGAAGAUUCAUCUUUAUCUUCUUCCAGGUGCUGCAACCAAAGAGGAUUCAUCUUCAUCUUCUUUCAUAUGACGUAGCCGGAAGGAUUCACCUUCAUCUUCUUCUAGGUGCUACAACCGAGAGGAUUCAUCUUCAUCUUCUUCUAAGAAUUGCAACUGAGAAGAUUCAUCUUCAUCUUCUCCUAAGAGUCGCAACCGAGAAGAUUCACCUUCAUCUUCUUUCAGGUGUCGCAACCAAAGAAGAUUCAUCUUCAUCUUCUUUUAGGAGUUGCAACCAAAGAGGAUUCAUCUUCAUCUUCUUUCAUAUGUCGUAGCCGGAAGGAUUCACCUUCAUCUUCUCUAGGUGCUACAAUAAAAGAGGAUUCAUCUUCAUCUUCUCUUAUAUGUCAUAGCUGAGAAGAUUCAUCUUCAUCUUCUCCAGGUGCUGCAAUCGAAAAUGAUUCAUCUUCUCUCAUAUGUCAUAGCCGAGAGGAUUCAUCUUCAUCUUCUCCCAUAUGUCAUAGCCGAGAGGAUUUAUCUUCAUCUUCUCCCAGGUGCUGCAAUUGAAUAGGAUUCAUCUUCAUCUCCUCCCAUAUGUCAUAGUCGAGAGGAUUCAUCUCCUUCCAUAUGUCAUAGCCGAGAGGAUUCAUCUUCAUCUUCUUCCAAGUGCUGCAACUGAAGAGAAUUCAUCUUCAUCUCCUCCCAUAUGUCAUAGCCGAGAGGAUUCAUCUUCAUCUUCUCCUAUAUGUCGUAGCUGAGAGUAUUCAUCUUUAUCAUCUAACAGGUGUCGCAACCCGGCCGAUGGAAUUCAUUUUCAUCAGCUCUAAGGUGUCGCAAGCUAGAUGAUUCAUCUUCAUCUUCUCCCUUGUACCACAACCAAGAAAGAAAAAA